UGCCCCAAGAUCCUCGGUCUUCUGACCAGGAGACUCCAGAUCCUUGAUGGUUUUGCCUUCCUCUGCAAUAUGGAUUACCCUGGUAUGGAAGGGAGAACACCCUGGUUCACAUAUGGAAUUUCUCUGGGCGAACAACCUUCAUAUUGAUGAAUGAAUGGAACCGUAUGCCCCAAGAUCCUCAGCCUUCUGACCAGGAGGUCAUAUCUUCUCAAUCAAAUUUGCCAUUAUAUUGCCUAUGCUUAAUUUCUUGCAUAAGAUUGUUAUAAAUUAGUUGUACAGUUGUGUUGGUCAUAGUCUUUUAUCUCCUAGCUACUUCUUAAGGCUUUUCUACUGCAUUACUACUAAUUAGCCAAAUUAAUCCCCAUUACUGUU